UAGAGUUUGAUCCUGGCUCAGGACGAACGCUGGCGGCGUGCCUAAUACAUGCAAGUAGAACGCUGAAGGAGGAGCUUGCUUCUCCGGAUGAGUUGCGAACGGGUGAGUAACGCGUAGGUAACCUGCCUGGUAGCGGGGGAUAACUAUUGGAAACGAUAGCUAAUACCGCAUAAGAGUAGAUGUUGCAUGACAUUUGCUUAAAAGGUGCAAUUGCAUCACUACCAGAUGGACCUGCGUUGUAUUAGCUAGUUGGUGGGGUAACGGCUCACCAAGGCGACGAUACAUAGCCGACCUGAGAGGGUGAUCGGCCACACUGGGACUGAGACACGGCCCAGACUCCUACGGGAGGCAGCAGUAGGGAAUCUUCGGCAAUGGACGGAAGUCUGACCGAGCAACGCCGCGUGAGUGAAGAAGGUUUUCGGAUCGUAAAGCUCUGUUGUAAGAGAAGAACGAGUGUGAGAGUGGAAAGUUCACCACUGUGACCGAUUUCCAAGGCGU
rnacentral:rRNA from 1 species